rnacentral:pre_miRNA from 1 species
AGGAGGAACAACCCCAGUGGUUGCCACAGCUCUGGAAACCUGGAUUCAGCUCCCGCAAGAACUACUCCGUCUGCAGGGUUUGGAGGCUCCGGAGCGGG